AGAAUGAGAUUGAGCCAAGGAUGACUUGCCGGUUCUACCUAAUUAAUCUUAAACCGAUUUUGGUGUCCGGCAAGUUGACCUUGGCUCUGUUUCCUUCUCU
rfam:Arabis alpina cultivar Pajares chromosome 4, whole genome shotgun sequence.